rnacentral:rRNA from 1 species
CGGGACGGGUGAGUAACACGUGGAUAACCUACCUAUAAGACUGGGAUAACUUCGGGAAACCGGAGCUAAUACCGGAUAAUAUAUUGAACCGCAUGGUUCAAUAGUGAAAGACGGUUUUGCUGUCACUUAUAGAUGGAUCCGCGCCGCAUUAGCUAGUUGGUAAGGUAACGGCUUACCAAGGCAACGAUGCGUAGCCGACCUGAGAGGGUGAUCGGCCACACUGGAACUGAGACACGGUCCAGACUCCUACGGGAGGCAGCAGAC